UAUAAAAAAACUAUUUAUUUUUAUUAUUAAAAACUGACAUAACGAUGGAAUAAUCAGACAAUUACAUGUGAUGUGCCAAGUGUACCUCGUAUUAACUUAUAGUGACUACUUUUUAACAGUAAAAAAUGAAUGAAAUUUUUUAACA
rfam:Gossypium hirsutum cultivar TM-1 unplaced genomic scaffold scaffold1659.1, whole genome shotgun sequence